AUGCGACUAUGGGCGUCUUUUGACCAGAAGUUGUGUGGGUCUGACUCCAGACCCAGCUGGCACAUAUUGUCCAGCCGGUUACUUUUGCUAUGUCCCAACCGAUGGAGAAGGGCCUUGCUGUCGACUUUUUCUUCUUUCUUUCCACAAAACAAUCCGCGCAGUACAGGAGUUCCCUACAAAGCCAAUGAUGAUGCAGUGAUAUGUAGUCAGAGAAAAAGAUGUACUUCCGGCAACGUGUGCACCACUGGCAAGGGCUAUGCCGUAUGUUGUCCAAGUAAAUCUUUCCAGGGUUGUCCGGUUUAUAAUUGUCCGCCUGUCAGACCAGGAUGUGCUCUUCCAAGAUAUUAUCUUCUCCAAUGAAGAUUCUGUAAACACUGUGAUAGAGACAUUUUUCCUCGACCAUAUAUGAACGGGCGUUAACUGGUUGUAAACCGUGCUAGUGCAUGUAAACGAUGUCUUCAUGUACCUUCCUUUGCAAAUAUACAUGUGCAAAAAGAUGAUAUAAAUUGUUUACCUGCGAUACAAGCAUUAAUGAUGUAAUGCCAUACCUAAAUAAAGAGGUACGGUCACGAUUUUGCUGGAUCAUUAGAAAUGCAUUACUAUAGCAUUGCAACCAAGAGCUCGAAAAUUG
rnacentral:sRNA from 1 species